UGGGGAAUUUUCCGCAAUGGGCGAAAGCCUGACGGAGCAAUACCGCGUGAGGGAGGAAGGCUUUUGGGUUGUAAACCUCUUUUCUCAAGGAAGAAGCAAGUGACGGUACUUGAGGAAUAAGCACCGGCUAACUCCGUGCCAGCAGCCGCGGUAAUACGGAGGGUGCAAGCGUUGUCCGGAUUUAUUGGGUUUAAAGGGUACGCAGGCGGGCUAUUAAGUCUGAGGUGAAAGCUCUCGGCUCAACCGGGAAACUGCCUUGGAUACUGGUAGUCUUGAGUACAGUAGAGGUGGGCGGAAUUCAGGGUGUAGCGGUGAAAUGCAUAGAUACCCUGAGGAACACCGAUAGGGGAGCCAGCUCACUGGACUGUCACUGACGCUGAGGUACGAAAGCGUGGGGAGCGAACAGGAUUAGAUACCCCCGUAGUCC
rnacentral:rRNA from 1 species